AAGAAAAAUGGACAAUAAACACGAUGCUCCGCAACACACAGGAUGACGCCUGGACCUGUGGCAUUUUGGUGUUAAUGUUUGCAGAGGAAUUUCUGGAGCAUGGCAACAUCUGCCAUCUCCAGACAUCUCCACAGGCUGUUGGCUAGGCACGGUUUGACGUCGCUUGUGCUCUGCUUCAAUACCCAGGGAAUGUUGAAGAUUAUUGUGUCGUGUGCUCUUUCCUGGAAGCAGACUGUGAUAA